AACACUACCAACCAGGAGUACCUGUAACAUUCACAAUUUUAUCAAAGAAACUAAAACUUACACUUUGUUAUUAUUUUAUAAAUUACUGUAAAUGAAUUGUUCCUCUUAUACUACUGGCUUAAGGAUAACACUUUUAACAAUUUAAUAGUAUUCAUUCAGAUCUCAAAUUAAGACAUUUCUAUUCAACAAUUGGAGAAUUUUGUAACUAUAGAGAUGAUUUAUAAAAACUCAUUUAAAUUGUGGAAGUGACAUAAACAUGAGUAGAUAACAUUUCUGUUACAAUCUAGUAGAAACUCCUAUUGUGCUUAAAGUCUGAUGUGCAAGAUGUGAAAAAUUCCAACAGCCAUUAACUGUAGUAACGGCAGAGUUUUUGAAAAUUGGCUUUUCCUUCAAACUGAACGUUAAUAUGAAGAGACAAGUGGAGAUACAAUAUAAUGAAUCAAAACCCCAGGGACAAUGAUAAAACAGUCAAACAACAAACAUCUACACCCAUCACAGUUCAACAGAAGAUCCAACUUGCUAAAAUCCUGCUUGACAGCCCCUGGACUACUGAUAUACAUUAAAGAAGACAUACCAAGGAUAUUCACCACCAUAUGGAGGAUAUGCACCAGGUAACCAAAUUCCUGUUUGCAGCCGCUGCACUGUUCAUCCAAUCUGAAGACAUGUUGUGGAUACAUACCAGGUAACCAACUUCCUGUUUGCAGCCGCUGCACUAUUCAUCCAAUCUGAAGACAUGUGGAUACGUACCUAAAUUCCUGUUUGCAGCCGCUGCACUAUUCAUCCAAUCUGAAGACAUGUGGAUACGUACCUAAAUUCAUGUUUCCAGCCGCUGCACUAUUCAUCCAAUCUGAAGGCACAUUGUUCACGUUGUACACUAUUGGCUGUUUGCUCACCACUAUUUCUAACAUUUUGCAUUUGAACACAAGUCACUGGGGUUGCUGAUAAAUGGAUUUAGUUGUGAUGUAUUUCCUCUCCACAUCUUCAUAAUUGUAAUUUUUGUUAUUCAUUCAAUCGUGUAAUUUCUAAUGUAACAAUAAAAAACUUUCUCUUAAA